rnacentral:lncRNA from 1 species
GUUGUCGCCUAUUUUUUUCAAGGCUCAUUGAUCCAAAAAAUUAGUUACUUAUCCUUUCUUCCCUGACUGUCGCUCUGGUUCUUUUUCAUUCCUUCUUUCCUUCUCUUUUGGUAUUGCUCCUUAGUUUAUAAAAUGUAGAAACUUCUCUCUCCUGAGAUUAGUAAAUAAACAUUUCUCUUUCUUAUGAAUCAGCAUUAUCCGUCAAUUUUCAGGGACAAUCCAAAGUCAUAGGUUACGAGAAGAAGAGACAUAUUAAAAAUCUACGAAGAGUUUCUGGUUUAACUUCCUGCGAAAACUUUUGGGAAGACACUUAAAAAGAUGAAGACUCACGUCGCCCUCGUGCCCUAGAGAUAAUGAAAGGCAGUGGUUACGAGCUCGGUCAUCUGAUGGUCCUGGAUUUGAAUACUUCUCUGCCGCAAUGAGCUGUGGACCUUGGAAAAAUUACUUCCCAACUUUGACACCUACCACAGCAUGGCUUUUGCCAAGUGGUGCCAUGUCCGCACCCGGGAUCAGAACCAAUGAACCCUGGGCCGCCGAGAAGCAGAAGGUGCGAAGUUAACCACUGUGCGACCGGACCAGCCCCAAGGUGUCCUUCAGUAGGUGAAUGGAUAAAUGAACUGCAGCCCAGUCUAAACAGUAAGGCUUGCAUUUAUUGAGCAUUCACUCAGUACCAGGCGCUUUACACAGUUUAUACCAAUAUCCUGAAAGGUCUUCUAAAGAACAGCUCAGCAGAAUAAAAGGAUAAGCAAUUUAGAAUGUGUAAAUGAUGCCAAUUUUUUGGCGAGGCAGGGGAGAUGGAUCACAAGGCUGGCCUCUGCAGUUGCGAAAUCUCAAAGUUCUCGAGAACUUAUUCUUAAAUUUCUGCGCGUGCCUCAACCCACGCAGGGAAGCCGCUUCUCUCUUUAUAAGGAUGAGAAAUGAACUAGAGUUGGAGGCGGAAUUCACAGAAGCAGGAGGCCUCCUGUGUGUCUGUGCUUGGCAUGGAAGGAGCCUGAGUGGGAGAAUUGAUAUCUCACAUCAAGAGAGAUUUCCUGAAAGCUGUGAAGAUGCCAUCUGCAGUCCU